AGGUCGACCCAGGAAUCGGCGCGCCAAUUCCUGUUUAGCGUAAGUCAGGCAAAUAAGAAGUCCAGUGGCACACAGUUUCCAAAGCAAAGACUGGGAAAAGUGUAAAGCUUAAUUUCUCAGUACUCUAUUGUGUACAGUGGGAGAUGCUUCUGGACUUCUACUAGUUUGCCAGUUUCUAAGUUUCGUUUUCUCAUCUGUAAAAGUGGGUUUUUCUGAAGAGAAAGUGAAGGAAGCCCUAUGGAACUGGCGCGCGAAGUGCGCGGCGUUUUCCUUUCUUACUGCAGGAAUGAGAGGGGGCCGCGCCGAGAUUGCCGUCUGACCCUGGAGUGCUGGGUGUGUAAACAGUUUGCUGCAGGCAUGAGUUUCCCACACUCGGUGUUUAAAACACCCCCGCUGUGUCACAGUGCCCAGCCCUAUGGAAAGUCCCACCCAGUGAGCGAGGACCAGAAGCCUCCUGCCAAUACCUGUGUGAGUGAGCUUGGAAGUGGAUCCUCCAGCCCCCAGUCAAGCCUUUACAGAUUGCAUCACCUGCUGACAUCCUGACUGCAAACUCAUAAGAGAUUCUGAGCCACAAUAAAACUAUCAAAGUAAGGAUGUUAACCUUCAGUUUCCAUCACUUGGUAACCAGCCGCCAAAAUAACCCUCAAUGAUCCCUGCCUCCUGAUAUUUACACCAUUUCGACAAUGAAAGGCACAGAGACUGUACAAAAUGAGAAGAGGCCGUUGGACAUCCAAAAUUCUACUGGCAGAAAGCAGACUGAGCUACAAACACGUUACCUUUCAUGGAAAAGGAAGGAUCACCCAGAGGGAGGAGCCAAGGGCAAAUGAAGAACCAUACCUGGGCAAAAAUAGGACUGAGUCCUAGUCAAAGAGCUUCCAAUAUUUUCUUGGCUGCAUUUCAAAACUGCUAUGGACCAGUAACUGCUGCUGUGUGCCUCCCAUCUCCCUCCCCCAUCUGUGAUUAUGUCUACGGAGGUUAUCCUAUAUAGACCUGUCUCACCAUUGUGUGUUGGGCGUGGCUGGGGGUUGGGGCUCAGAAAACGUAUCUCUGGUUCUGAAGUCAAAGAUACUGUGUUUCAAGAGCCUUACCUGCACCUGGAUGAUGAGAUUCUGGACUUUGAGCUGAUGUUAUAAUGGGUGAAGACUUUAGGAGGAAGAGUAAGCGUAUUUUGUAUGUAAAGGGAAAAUGAAUCACAGGGGGCUAGAGGUUGGAUGGAGAUAGCCAGCCUCCAAGACAAUCCCCAUUUCUGACUUGGUUCUAAUGAAUAGAAUACGGCAGAGUGAUCCUCUGUCACUGAGACGUGUCAUAGAAAGCAAUGCAGCAUUGCUUUGGUUACCUUGGUGACUCACUCUGGGGAAGCCAGCAGCCAUGCUGGGAGCAGUGCUAUGCAGAGGACUAUGUGGUAAAAAACUGAAUCCCUUGGUUAACAGUCCUAAAUCCACGUAUAAGCCCCCGGAUAAGCCUUGAGAUGAUUAUGGCCCUGGCUGACACUGAGGCUGCAACCUUGUGAGGAACCCUGGGCUUGAAGCACCAGUUAAACAACUCCCAUAUUUCAGACCCACACAAACUGGUGGAUAAGAAAUGUUUAUUGUUUAAAGCCACUAAGUUUGGGGGUAAUUUGUGAUGCAGCAAAAAAUAACUAAUGCACUCCAAUAUCUCCAGUUUCAGUCCAUCACUAUGGGAUCCAUUCUAAAUUUCUCUCUUUCCAUACCUGUAAUUCCCUUUUCUGACAAUGAGAAACAUAGCUACCAUUAUCCUUAAUACAAUUACUUGUCAGUCACCUUCUACAUAACAAAUUUCCAUUGUUGUGCCACAUCAUUCCUCCCCCAUGUUUCAUCUUCCUCACCUUUCAACACCCCUCAUAAGGUUGCUGUGUACCCCUCCUCCCCCACCAUGUGGAUGCUUCCUCACCCCAGUCAGGUGCCACCACCCUGCUCUGGGCCUCUGUCUCUCCCUCCUAAUGCUGUCCCUACAUCUAUCUCCUGAGGGGAUUUGCAGGCUAAGACACCUGCAGCAAAACAUCUCCCACAGGCCCUCCAGAUUCCUGUGCAGCUUCUGCUAUUAUUGCAAAGAGCCAGGACAUUAGAAAAGGGAUUGCCACAAAUUUAAAUGCUUCAGGGACCUUUAGCCUUCUAAUCAGCCUUCCCAGUGUCUCCUAAUCCCCAAUGAUAGAGCUCAAAGGAACUACUGGGGCUUUUUCCAAUCCUCCCUCUUAAUCUGCUCAGAGAAUGAAUCUCCUCUGUCGUUAGUGACACUGGAGCCUCACUCUCCAUGUGCAACCCCACUGCUCCGAACUGCUCUGCCUUAAAGUAAGAAAACAGUUAAAAAAUAGUGUGGGUGUCAACAGUUUCCUGUCUCUGAAUCUAUGCCUUUUUGCUUAGUCCCAUUAAGAGAUACACACCCUUUUCUUCUUAGUUUCUCUGCCCCUGUGUAUUGAGUAGGCCGAGACUUCCUAGAGAAGCAUCAUGCUGGAAUCUGUUUCUCCUGAAAGGGGAAAAUAAUCCUAGAAUUUGACAGGAGCUAUAUUUUGAGCUCCUCAUGACUGCAUAACACUGAUGGCUCACCCCAAGACCUCCUGGUGAACUGCAGGAGACUCCUCCAGGGAAUGCUGAUUUCUCACGGUUUACAGAUGGUUCAUAUUUAAAGAAGAGCAUGCUGAGGACUGUGCUGGAUCCUACUGUAACCCCUUUUGAAGUCAUGGAGGCAGCAUCUUUACCUUUGGCUACUUCAGCACAGCAGGCUGAAUCAUGUGGGUAUGCCCUUCAGGGUAGCUCAUGACUUUGGAAUGCUGUGGGCUAUAUUAAUGACCCUCAAGUUGUCACAGCUCCACUGAAUAUCCCUUAAAAAUCAUGAUUUUUCUUCUGAUUUCAAUGAAAAGGAUGGAUUUAUGGAUUUCCUAAUACUGAAUCAUUCUUGCAUUCCUGAAAUAAGCCCCUACUUCACUGUGAAGUAUAUUAGUUUACAUUUAAUGUGCCAUUAGAUGUUUGCUAUUAUUUUAUUAACAAUUUUGCAUUGGUGGUCUGCAGUUUUGUUUUUACACAAUAUUUAUCAGGUUUGGUAAACACUGAUACAAUCACUUCAUAAAAAGAAUUUGGAAGUUUUCCUUCCUUUGCUGUGAUUUGAAAGCUUAAGUAGCAUUGAGAUUACCUGGUAUUUGAAGGUUUGGAAGAAAUCUUCCAUGAAACCACACGGGCCUGGCAGGUUGACUAAGUUUUCUAUUUCCCUUAUGGGAAUUUGUCUGUUUAAAAUUCCUCCAUCACCUGGGGUCAGUUUGGCUAAUUCUCAUUUCAUCUACCUUUUUCAAAUUUAUUUGCAACAAACAAUUUAUUUGAAAACAAUUCAAAAAUUGUGGGGGUGUCAACAGAGAAAUAGUAAAACUUAAAAAGCUGGUUCUUUGAAAAGAAACAAAGUGGACUUAUAACCAAAUCAGGAUGAAAAGAAACAAACACACAAAAUAAGAAAUGAUAAGAGGAAAGUAACUACUGAAAUGAAGGCAGUUCUUAAAGUGAGUCUACAAAGUUCCAAAAGCAGCGGGGAACUUGGAACACAACACACAUCAUUCAUUAAAUGUAGUUAAACAACCAAUAAGAUAUGAAAGAACAGCACACAUCAUAAACUCAGCAGCUCAGAAUACGGUAAAAGUGGAGGAGCGCCCCGUCUAGAUUAGCUGAACCCCAAUUAACCUGCAGAUGCAUGGGUCAAAAAUGCACGUUUAUUGCUUAAUGCUGCUGAGUCUGGGGCUGUCACACAGAAUUACUAUGGCAAUAGCUGAGCGAUACAUGAGUCAAUCUUAAAAUCUUUUUAAUAGGAGAGCUAAACACACUACGCUCAUUGAUACAGUUGGUAUGUUUGGUCUUCUACCUGGGAUAUUUCACCUUGUGUAGUUACCUGUGGAUGUUACUUUCUCCUCUCUUCCCCCACCAACGCAUUUUGCUUUGCUUUAUAUUUGGGAAGAUUUGUAUUUUGUUCUAGAGGUUACCAUUAUAAUAACACUUUGAUAUAACGUUGUUAGUCCACUGUUUUCUUACUUAGACUUUUACUGUUUGGCUUUAUCAGGUUCAGUAUCGUUUGACUCUCACCUAGUAACACAGGCAGGGACUAAGGCUCUUCCACUUGUCUUCCUUCUCUUCCCAUUUAAAAGUUUGUGCUAUUUCUAUUUUGUCUGAACAUAUAACUUGCUUGGUACUCUCCCAUCUGUAUCCCCACUUCCGCUUCAGACCCAGAUAUGUACAAUUUAUGUAUCCAGUGCUCGUCAGUCCUUUUGCCAAAAUUUCUGGAAUGUGUUGGUUGCAUGGUUUGUCUGUGACAGAUUCCCAGGAAGGACGCCUACGGAGUGUGUUCAUCACAUGCUUGUAUGUUCAGAACCUGUGCAAAGCUACUUUUCUAUCCUUUUGAAUCUGAGAUCCAGAGAGUUUAUCUUCCGAGUUCAUUAAUUUUACUAGGAUAUGUCUUUCAGUGUUGAUAAUUCUGGGUAAUUUUCGCUCCAAGGACAUAGUUGGAGUUUUCAGGAUGUAGUAGGUUCAGCUCUUCUUUAUUAAAAAUCUUUUUUCUUUUUUUUUAAA